UUGUGAUUGAGGGGAUAGACCAUCACAAGUAUUACUUAUCUAAAUACGGGUCACCUGAGAAAACAUGGACAGUUGACUAUCAUCCAGCGGAUAAUCAAAUGAUGUGUUCUUGCUUGAAAUUCGAAUCGUUUGGCAUACCCUGCUGCCACAUGAUUUGUGUUAUGAAAUUAAACUAUCUAUUGUGUAUUCCUCAGAAUUGUGUCUUGCAGAGGUGGGCGAGGCAACAUAGGCCUAACCAUCAGGUACAUAGUCAUAGCAAAAUUGAUACUACACUAACUCAGACAGCACGUUACGGUAUAUUAAGCUCACUUUUCAACGAGGUGUCGUAUUAUGCCUCACACACUGACUUGGAUUUCAAAGAGGCUAGGGAAGUAGCCGUCCAGUUUUUGUGGAAGUUGAAGAAACGCCAGGAAAUGACAAAGGAGGAUAACCUCAACAGUGUUCAAGGAAAUAAGAAGACCAAGCUGUUUGGUAUUGGGGAUCCUAAUAUAGUCAAAACCAAAGGUAAUCCGGGGGGGAACUCUUCUAUGGGCAAACCCAAAAGGCCAAGGACAUGUGGAAGGUGCAAGGUUCCAGGCCACACAAAGAGAACAUGUCCAAAAUUUCCUUUAGCUAGCCGAGGAGUGGAUAGUAUCUCUAUCGAUAAGAAUGACUACCAACCAUCGGCGACACACUGUCCUUCGGAGGACGGCUAUCCAACUCCUCCUCCUUCCCCUUUUACACAAACAGGAUGUUAAAGGAAGUCAACAGGUCCUGCUAUGAUUCAUCGUGUGAAAAGGCAACUUUACACUAACCAUGAGCGUACAGAUCUAACUCCUUUGGAGUUAGGACAUGGCAUCAAUAGAGCAACGGCAAGUCGUGAUGCUCAAGUGUGCCAAAAUGUAUCAUUCAGAAUUAGUGAAGCUAGUAAGGAAGAUGAAGAAGGAGCUGCAACAAAUGGAGCCAUCCAGUCAAGUUCUAGUGUCUUUUAGGUGGCAUUAUCUUGCCGUUAUGGUGUCUUAUGAGUUAUUUUAGCUUUUUUAACUGCUUCAUUGAGUUUGGGCAUGUAGACUAGCUUAUCAAUGCUUGUUAAGUUUUUGAUACUGCGUGGCAUAAUUGGUGAAAUGGAUUUUUGUUUGACUAUUUAGUGGAGUUCGAAUGGCUGA